AACACACACACACACACACACACAAACACACACUCACUGUGUUUCAGGUUAACCCCCGAGACCGUCCCUCGGUCAGCUCCGUCCUCAGGCGUCCCUUCCUGGAGAAGCACAUCAGCAAACACCUGGACCCACAGAUGAUGCAGGAGGAGUUCAGCCACACGGUGCUGCAUCAAAACAGAGCUGCAGCAGCGUCGUCUCAGGCGGCUAAAACGAGAGCAGGAGCAGCAGAGAAGAGACUGAAGUCCAGGGCAGCAGAGAGACCGGGGGCCGCCGUGAAGAGACUACCUGCAAAACCUGACUGGAGAGUCCCACUCAGAGUCUACACCCCGGCCCACUACAGACCUCUUCAUCAACGAGCCGCAGAGAGAGAAGCCGCAGCGCAGCAGAAAGGAAGGUGAAAUUACACCGACCGUAUUAACCUUUUCACUCCAUGAUGAAAAUCAC
rnacentral:lncRNA from 1 species